rnacentral:rRNA from 1 species
UACGGAAGGCAGCAGUGGGGAAUCUUGCGCAAUGGGCGAAAGCCUGACGCAGCCAUGCCGCGUGAAUGAUGAAGGUCUUAGGAUUGUAAAAUUCUUUCACCGGGGACGAUAAUGACGGUACCCGGAGAAGAAGCCCGGCUAACUUCGUGCCAGCAGCCGCGGUAAUACGAAGGGGCUAGCGUUGCUCGGAAUUACUGGGCGUAAAGGGCGCGUAGGCGGAUCGUUAAGUCAGAGGUGAAAUCCCAGGGCUCAACCCUGGAACUGCCUUUGAUACUGGCGAUCUUGAGUAUGAGAGAGGUAUGUGGAACUCCGAGUGUAGAGGUGAAAUUCGUAGAUAUUCGGAAGAACACCAGUGGCGAAGGCGACAUACUGGCUCAUUACUGACGCUGAGGCGCGAAAGCGUGGGGAGCAAACAGGGAUUAGAUACC